rnacentral:rRNA from 1 species
CCUACGGGUGGCAGCAGUGGGGAAUAUUGCACAAUGGGGGAAACCCUGAUGCAGCGACGCCGCGUGAGUGAAGAAGUAUUUCGGUAUGUAAAGCUCUAUCAGCAGGGAAGAAAAUGAAGGUACCUGACUAAGAAGCACCGGCUAACUACGUGCCAGCAGCCGCGGUAAUACGUAGGGGGCAAGCGUUAUCCGGAUUUACUGGGUGUAAAGGGAGCGUAGACGGUCAGACAAGUCAGACGUGAAAGCCCAGGGCACAACCCUGGGACUGCUUUUGAAACUGCCGGGCUGGAGGGCAGGAGAGGUAAGCGGAAUUCCUAGUGGAGCGGUGAAAUGCGUAGAUAUUAGGAGGAACACCAGUGGCGAAGGCGGCUUACUGGACUGUAACUGACGUUGAGGCUCGAAAGCGUGGGGAGCAAACAGGAUUAGAUACCCGAGUAGUC